rnacentral:tRNA from 1 species
GCGCCUGUAGCUCAGCUGGAUAGAGUGCCGGAUUCCGGUUCCGAAGGUCGGGGGUUCGAAUCCCUCCAGGCGUACCA